ACCUCGGGAGGGUUAACCCGGGAACUGGGUAUAAUCCCCGAUAGAUCUCGGUCGCUGGAAAGCCCCGAGAUCGAAAGCUCCGGCGCCAGAGGAUGGGUCUGCGGCCUAUCAGGUAGUAGUGGGUGUAGCGUACCUACUAGCCUACGACGGGUACGGGUUGUGAGAGCAAGAGCCCGGAGAUGGAUUCUGAGACACGAAUCCAGGCCCUACGGGGUGCAGCAGGCGCGAAAACUUUACAAUGCCGGCAACGGCGAUAAGGGGACCUCGAGUGCCAGGUUACAAAUCUGGCUGUCGUGAUGCCUAAAAAGCAUUGCAUAGCAAGGGCCGGGCAAGACCGGUGCCAGCCGCCGCGGUAACACCGGCGGCUCGAGUGGUAACCGUUAUUAUUGGGUCUAAAGGGUCUGUAGCCGGCCGGAUAAGUCUCUUGGGAAAUCCAGCAGCUCAACUGUUGGGCUUUCAGGAGAUACUGUCUGGCUCGAGGCCGGGAGAGGUGAGAGGUACUUCAGGGGUAGGGGUGAAAUCUUGUAAUCCUUGAAGGACCACCAGUGGCGAAGGCGUCUCACCAGAACGGACCUGACGGCAAGGGACGAAAGCUAGGGGCACGAACCGGAUUAGAUACCCGGGUAGUCCUAGCCGUAAACGAUACUCGCUAGGUGUCGGCCACGGUGCGACCGUUGUCGGUGCCGUAGGGAAGCCGUGAAGCGAGCCACCUGGGAAGUACGGCCGCAAGGCUGAAACUUAAAGGAAUUGGCGGGGGAGCAC
rnacentral:rRNA from 1 species